GCAGUCAUACUGCAAGUCUCAAGACUAAGCCAUGCAUGUCUAAGCAAAAGCCUUAAUACGGUGAAGCCGCGAAUAGCUCAUUACAACAGCCGUAGUUUAUUGGAUCUAAUCCUACUUGGAUACCUGUGGUAAUUCUAGAGCUAAUACACGCAAAAAGCCUGAACCUCUGGGACGGGUGCAUUUAUUAGAACAAAACCAAUCGGCCCUGCCGUCAUUUGGUGAAUCUGAAUAACUCAGCUGAUCGCACGGUCUUGUACCGGCGACAUGUCUUUCAAGUGUCUGCCUUAUCAACUUUCGAUGGUAGUUUAUGUGCCUACCAUGGUUGUAACGGGUAACGGAGAAUAAGGGUUCGACUCCGGAGAGGGAGCCUGAGAAACGGCUACCACAUCCAAGGAAGGCAGCAGGCGCGCAAAUUACCCACUCUCAGCAUGAGGAGGUAGUGACGAAAAAUAACGAGGUGGGCCUCUACGAGGUUCACCAUCGGAAUGGGUACAAUCCAAACCCUUUAACGAGGAUCUAUCGGAGGGCAAGUCUGGUGCCAGCAGCCGCGGUAAUUCCAGCUCCAAUAGCGUAUACUAAAGUUGUUGCGGUUAAAAAGCUCGUAGUUGGAUCUGCAACUCUCAGCCUGGGUACCCUCACGGGCCACUCAGGUUGGAGUUUACCUACUGGUUUGCUCUUAGUGCCCUUCAUUGGGUGCUCUGAGUGUCCAGUUCUUUUACUUUGAAAAAAUUAGAGUGCUCAAAGCAGGCAAAUGCCUGAAUAGUGGUGCAUGGAAUAAUGGAAUAGGACCUCGGUUCUAUUUUGUUGGUUUUCGGAGCGCGAGGUAAUGAUUAAGAGGGACAGUCGGGGGCAUUCGUAUUGCUGCGUUAGAGGUGAAAUUCUUGGAUCGCAGCAAGACGAACAACUGCGAAAGCAUUUGCCAAGGAUGUUUUCAUUAAUCAAGAACGAAAGUUAGAGGUUCGAAGGCGAUCAGAUACCGCCCUAGUUCUAACCGUAAACGAUGCCAGCUAGCGAUCCGCUGUUGUCUAUUCUGACUCAGCGGGCAGCUUUCCUGAAACGAAAGCUUUUCGGUUUCUGGGGAGUAUGUUUGCAAUUCCGAAACUUAACGAUUUGACGAGGGUCACCCACCAAGGAAUGAGCUGCGGCUUAAUUGACUCAAACACUGGAACCUCCACCGGGACCCUGACCCAGUACGAAUG
rnacentral:rRNA from 1 species